rnacentral:rRNA from 1 species
GUGCCAAGCAGCCGCGGUAAUCCCAGCUCCAAUAGCGUAUAUUAAAGUUGUUGCCGUUAAAAAGCUCGUAGUCGAACUUCGGCGCCUGAUGGCCGGUCCGCCUUCUUGGUGUGUACUUGCUCAUCGGGCGCUUACCUCCUGGUGAACUCUGAUGUCCUUUACUGGGUGUCAGAGCAAACCAGGACGUUUACUUUGAAAAAAUUAGAGUGUUCAAAGCAGGCCUACGCCCGAAUACAUUAGCAUGGAAUAAUAGAAUAGGACGCGCGUUCCCAUUUUGUUGGUUUCUGAGAUCGCCGUAAUGAUUAAUAGGGAUAGUUGGGGGCAUUUGUAUUCCGUCGUCAGAGGUGAAAUUCUUGGAUUGCCGGAAGACAAACUACUGCGAAAGCAUUUGCCAAGGAUGUUUUCAUUGAUCAAGAACGAAGGAAGGGGGAUCGAAAACGAUCAGAUACCGUUGUAGUCUCUUCUGUAAACUAUGCCAAUUGGGGAUUAGCACAGGAUUUUCAAUGACUGUGUUAGCACCCGAAGAGAAAUCUUUAAAUGAGGUUCGGGGGGGAGUAUGGUCGCAAGGCUGAAACUUAAAGGAAUUGACGGAAGGGCACCACCAGGUGUGGAGCCUGCGGCUUAAUUUGACUCAACACGGGGAAACUCACCAGGUCCAGACACAAUAAGGAUUGACAGAUUGAUAGCUCUUUCUUGAUCUUGUGGUUGGUGGUGCAUGGCCGUUCUUAGUUGGUGGAGUGAUUUGUCUGGUUAAUUCCGAUAACGAACGAGACCUUAACCUGCUAAAUAGACCAGUCGACUUUGGUUGACUGCUGUCUUCUUAGAGGGACUAUCAGCGUUUAGCUGAUGGAAGUUUGAGGCAAUAACAGGUCUGUGAUGCCC